AUUGAACGCUGGCGGAAUGCUUUACACAUGCAAGUCGAACGGCAGCACGGACUUCGGUCUGGUGGCGAGUGGCGAACGGGUGAGUAAUGUAUCGGAACGUGCCCAGUCGUGAGGGAUAACGUAGUGAAAAUUACGCUAAUACCGCAUACGAUCUAUGGAUGAAAGCGGGGGAUCGCAAGACCUCGCGCGAUUGGAGCGGCCGAUAUCAGAUUAGGUAGUUGGUGGGGUAAAGGCCCACCAAGCCAACGAUCUGUAGCUGGUCUGAGAUGACGACCAGCCACACUGGAGCUGAGACACGGUCCAGACUCCUACGGGAGGCAGCAGUGGGGAAUUUUGGACCAUGGGCGAAAGCCUGAUCCAGCCAUUCCGCGUGCAGGAUGAAGGCCCUCGGGUUGUAAACUGCUUUUGUACAGAACGAAAAGGUUUCUACUAAUACUAGGAGCUCAUGACGGUACUGUAAGAAUAAGCACCGGCUAACUACGUGCCAGCCGCCGCUGUAA
rnacentral:rRNA from 1 species